UGCAGUCGAGCGAGCUGAAUUCAAAGAUUCCUUCGGGAUGAUUUGUUGGACGCUAGCGGCGGAUGGGUGAGUAACACGUGGGCAAUCUGCCCUAAAGACUGGGAUACCACUUGGAAACAGGUGCUAAUACCGGAUAACAACAUGAAUCGCAUGAUUCAAGUUUGAAAGGCGGCGUAAGCUGUCACUUUAGGAUGAGCCCGCGGCGCAUUAGCUAGUUGGUGGGGUAAAGGCCUACCAAGGCAAUGAUGCGUAGCCGAGUUGAGAGACUGAUCGGCCACAUUGGGACUGAGACACGGCCCAAACUCCUACGGGAGGCAGCAGUAGGGAAUCUUCCACAAUGGACGCAAGUCUGAUGGAGCAACGCCGCGUGAGUGAAGAAGGUUUUCGGAUCGUAAAGCUCUGUUGUUGGUGAAGAAGGAUAGAGGCAGUAACUGGUCUUUAUUUGACGGUAAUCAACCAGAAAGUCACGGCUAACUACGUGCCAGCAGCCGCGGUAAUACGUAGGUGGCAAGCGUUGUCCGGAUUUAUUGGGCGUAAAGCGAGCGCAGGCGGAAUGAUAAGUCUGAUGUGAAAGCCCACGGCUCAACCGUGGAACUGCAUCGGAAACUGUCAUUCUUGAGUGCAGAAGAGGAGAGUGGAAUUCCAUGUGUAGCGGUGGAAUGCGUAGAUAUAUGG
rnacentral:rRNA from 1 species